rnacentral:rRNA from 1 species
GCUGCGGGCUCCGGACUUUGACAAUCCCCGAGUGCGAUCCCAGGUCAGGCGGGGCUACCCGCUGAGUUUAAGCAUAUCAAUAAGCGGAGGAAAAGAAACUAACGAGGAUUCCCUUAGUAGCGGCGAGCGAAUCGGGAAGAGCCCAGCAUGAAAAUCGUCCGUCAUCGGCGGCCGAAUUGUAGUCUGGAGAAGCGUCCUCAGUGACGGACCGGACCCAAGUUCACUGGAAGG